UAGGUAUGGGUCUAAAGUCAUUUUAAACUUUUGUCACCAGUAAUGGAAACCCAAUCUUUUCUAUUCUUUGUAAAUAUUAAAGGUUUAAAGGGUAAUAACAAAUUUCUAAUUAGUGACGGUUUCAAGUAUUAGAGGCUAAUACUUAUUAAAGGAGGGUAGGUAUAGAUAUUGCCUUUAAUGAAGUUUGUUUGUUCGGUUUGAACAUGGGAGCCAUGUACUAAGGCUCAAAGAAACUUCACUUAUAUGAACAUAGAAGUGGUGCCGCUUCUAACAAAAAAUUGGAUCUUAUUUUUUUGUACAUGUUUAUGAAUCCAGGAUGUAGCACAAGGCCAUAUACGGUGCUAAAUCUUACGGUAUACUUUAGAAUUAAAAAAAAGGGUAGAGUUUGUGUGUGUGGUACUUCCAGCUUUGAUAAUAAGGAAU
rnacentral:lncRNA from 1 species